UACCUACUGGAGGUUUGGAUGCGGCAAC
rnacentral:sRNA from 1 species